CGGGAAUUUUGGGCAAUGGGCGAAAGCCUGACCCAGCAACGCCGCGUGAGGGAUGAAGUAUUUCGGUAUGUAAACCUCGAAAGAAUGGGAAGAAUAAAUGACGGUACCAUUUAUAAGCUCCGGCUAACUACGUGCCAGCAGCCGCGGUAAUACGUAGGGAGCAAGCGUUGUUCGGAAUUACUGGGCGUAAAGCGUGCGCAGGCGGUUUUGUAAGACAGAUGUGAAAUCCCCGGGCUUAACCUGGGAACUGCGUUUGUGACUGCAAGGCUGGAGUACGGCAGAGGGUGGUGGAAUUCCACGUGUAGCAGUGAAAUGCGUAGAGAUGUGGAGGAACACCGAUGGCGAAGGCAGCCCCCUGGGCCUGUACUGACGCUCAUGCACGAAAGCGUGGGGAGCAAACA
rnacentral:rRNA from 1 species